CGAACGGGGAGGAGCCCAGAGCCUGAAUCAGCAUGUGUGUUAGUGGAAGCGUCUGGAAAGGCGCGCGAUACAGGGUGACAGCCCCGUACACAAAAGCGCAUGUGCUGUGAGCUCGAUGAGUAGGGCGGGACACGUGGUAUCCUGUCUGAAUAUGGGGGGACCAUCCUCCAAGGCUAAAUACUCCUGACUGACCGAUAGUGAACCAGUACCGUGAGGGAAAGGCGAAAAGAACCCCGGCGAGGGGAGUGAAAAAGAACCUGAAACCGUGUACGUACAAGCAGUGGGAGCACAGGUUUACCUGUGUGACUGCGUACCUUUUGUAUAAUGGGUCAGCGACUUAUAUUCUGUAGCAAGGUUAACCGUAUAGGGGAGCCGGAGGGAAACCGAGUCUUAAUUGGGCGUUAAGUUGCAGGGUAUAGACCCGAAACCCGGUGAUCUAGCCAUGGGCAGGUUGAAGGUUGGGUAACACUAACUGGAGGACCGAACCGACUAAUGUUGAAAAAUUAGCGGAUGACCUGUGGCUGGGGGUGAAAGGCCAAUCAAACCGGGAGAUAGCUGGUUCUCCCCGAAAGCUAUUUAGGUAGCGCCUCGUGAAUUCAUCUCCGGGGGUAGAGCACUGUUUCGGCUAGGGGGCCAUCCCGGCUUACCAACCCGAUGCAAACUGCGAAUACCGGAGAAUGUUAUCACGGGAGACACACGGCGGGUGCUAACGUCCGUCGUGAAGAGGGAAACAACCCAGACCGCCAGCUAAGGUCCCAAAGUCAUGGUUAAGUGGGAAACGAUGUGGGAAGGCCCAGACAGCCAGGAUGUUGGCUUAGAAGCAGCCAUCAUUUAAAGAAAGCGUAAUAGCUCACUGGUCGAGUCGGCCUGCGCGGAAGAUGUAACGGGGCUAAACCAUG
rnacentral:rRNA from 1 species